ensembl:lncRNA
CGUGUGUCUGACUGAUGGACCUUAAUGAUGACACUUUAACACCGUGUGUCUGACUGAUGGACCUUAAUGAUGACACUUUAACACCGUGUGUCUGACUGCACAAAGAGCUUUCAAAAUGCUGUAAAACAGUGACUCUAGUAAGUGCCAAAUAAAGUAACAGGGUUGACUAACAGGGUUGACUAACAGGGUUGACUAACAGGGUUGACUAACAGGGUUGACUGUCACAGGGUUGACUGUCACAGGGUUGACUAACAGGGUUGACUAACAGGGUUGACUGUCACAGGGUUGACUGUCACAGGGUUGACUGUCACAGGGUUGACUGUCACAGGGUUGACUGUCACAGGGUUGACUGUCACAGGGUUGACUGUCACAGGGUUGACUGUCACAGGGUUGACGAGUUCAUGUUAAAUCAGCCAUAAAUCUCUUUGUGACGAGGGGGAAUGGAAGAUUGUUGUGUGCAACAGGGAGGGCUUCUUUUUUAAAAUAUAUCUAUAUUUCUGGGUAACAUGUAACGUAUGCUGCUCAACCCGCCUCAGGUUUCCACCACAAAACAUCAGAAUAUGUACAAAAAGAGCGGAACCAGCUCACCUGCUUUUACACUGAAAAAUAAUAUUUAAGAAGGAAUAGUUUCACCAUAUUUAAACGAGGGUUCAGUUCAUGUAACAAGGUUGACCUCUAAAAUCAGGGGCAGGUUUUUUUUUUUUUUUUUACCUUUUUAAAAUAAUUCACUAAUCACAUUUAAAUGAAUUAAUCUCUAGAAAUGGCAAAAUAACUAGGUCUUUACAAUGUUGGUGAAAACCUUUUUGGGGUUGAAGUGUCUGUCAACAGUUGCUACAUCCAGUUUGGAUUCUUGAAGAAUGUAACUGAUAAAUACCUCAUGAGCUCAACUGUCACACCACAUCAGUCCUUGCAUCCAUAGCCCUGUCUGGUUCUUCAGCCCAGUCCCUCAGCUUUUUACCAAAACAGGGGCGGGGAGUUAAUUUAUAGUUUUUUUUACUGCUGAUUGCGGCUUUAAGUGGGUUAAAAUCUAGCCAAAAUCCUGACUUUAUGUCACUGUAGCAAGUCUGUUCGCAUUAAAAGUCAGAUUCUGUGGUCUAUAUUAAAGGGCCUGUUAAAAUAGAGUUUUGGUGCACCGUUGUAACUGAAACAUCGAAGGGAUGCAGAAGAAACGUCUGUGGAACAAGUCUGUUCAGCGUUGCUUCAGGGCCUCCUUGUGAGCCGGACGUCUUUAUUAACAACGAUACCGGCAAGCUGAACUGGCUGCUUAUAGCAUAUUUUCACAAAGACAACUAUCAUUCCCCCCCUCCCCCCCCCAAACUAUAACAAAGAUAAAGCUGGAACCGUAACCAAGGCGAUUGGCUCGUGGGUCAUUCAUGUUCUGCAACGGUGUUUACUGCCAGAUCAGAGAAAUACUGUUUUUUAUUUAUCCACAAUCAUUACUGUUCUUGUCAGAUGGUAAAAAAAAAAAACAUGUCAAAGGUCAAAUCCAGUUUGUUCUAUUCCACCUCUGCCUUAAAGGUUUAUAGGAAGACGAGUGUUAAGACGCUACAAGAUUUACUUCAGUUUAUGUCCAGAGAAUUUCCAUUAUUGAAAUGUUGAUGUGACUAACAUUUGAUCUCCUCGCAGUGAUCUGCAUCUAGGACAAUCUAGCUGUAUGUUUUUAUAAGGUGUUUAUUUAUCAACUAAUGUAUUCAUCAACUGUCUGCACAAUUUCUUAUUGGGUGACAAUUAUAGUACAUUUUUGUUUUUUGUGUAUUUUACUGUUGAAAGAAAUGGAUGUUGAAUAAGUUACAUAUAUACACACUGUGCCCAGGUCAGGAAUGACUCGCGUCAAUUAAUAUAUCUAUAUGCUGUACGUAGAGGGGUGUUGUGCCGGGAAGACAGGCUGUACGUAGAGGGGUGUUGUGCCGGGAAGACAGGCUGUACGUAGAGGGGCGUUGUGCCGGGAAGACAGGCUGUACGUAGAGGGGUGUUGUGCCGGGAAGACAGGCUGUACGUAGAGGGGGGUUGUGCCGGGAAGACAGGCUGAAGAGGGCGUUGUGCCGGGAAGACAGGCUGUACGUAGAGGGGCGUUGUGCCGGGAAGACAGGGUAGAGGGGUGUUGUGCCGGGAAGACAGGCUGUACGUAGAGGGGCGUUGUGCCGGGAAGACAGGCUGUACGUAGAGGGGCGUUGUGCCGGGAAGACAGGCUGUACGUAGAGGGGCGUUGUGCCGGGAAGACAGGCUGUACGUAGAGGGGCGUUGUGCCGGGAAGAAGACAGGCUGUACGUAGAGGGGCGUUGUGCCGGGAAGACAGGCUGUACGUAGAGGGGCGUUGUGCCGGGAAGACAGGCUGUACGUAGAGGGGCGUUGUGCCGGGAAGACAGGCUGUACGUAGAGGGGCGUUGUGCCGGGAAGACAGGCUGUACGUAGAGGAGCAGGAAAACAGGUCAGGUCUUAAUAAUAAUAUUUGUAACAUGCAAAUACACAUCUGAGCCUCAUUCAGUCUGCAGUUAAAAACAUUGUGGAGCGUUGCAGACAAAUGUCAUGAAUAAAGCUUUGUGAUUCCUCAUCCUGCAGGUCAGAGAGGCAUGUUAGUUCUACAAAAACAUAUCUGAACAUUCCACAACAGUGUGCUCUGCUGAACACAGCCCUGUUUACAAUUCAUCUGCCACAUUGAUAAUGAUCCAUUCCCCCUGGGGGGGGGGGGCGCGUUCAGCAAGACACAAUGUUUGGGAACGUUCAGAUAGAAAUAUGCUCUGUAGAACAAACAUGCCUCUCUGUCCUGUAGAAUAAGGAAUCAUGUUGGCUCUAUUUCUGGUGUUUCUAUCUGCAACGUUUUGGCUGCUGAACGUGGCCCUGGGGUUCUAUUGUCGUAACCAGGAAGUGGGCAGGAAACAGUGAGGGCAGGGCCUCUGCUUCAAAGAGGGCGGAAGUCAGUCUCCAAAGACCUCUCUGUUAGACUGUCUAAUGUGUACAAUAAAAGAGUUGGUGCUGUUUUAUUGAAAACAGUGAAUCUGAUCAACCGUUUUAUGUUCAGUUUGCAGCAAUACAAAUCUUAACCCCGAUUUCAUUGCAACCUCGUAGAGACACGCCUCCAUAAUUCUGCUAGAACCAAUGAAAUGACUCCCCUGUUUGCCUGGGUCAGUGUACAGGGCCGUAUUCCUCUAGUCCCCCUGAAGACAGAGAUCCUGUUGAAUUCUUCCUUCAGUCAUUUCUUGGUGAUUUAUAUCUGGUCUGUCCUGUGGUUGUUUUCUCUCCAUCACAUCUCUGUCAACAGACCCUGUCAAAUCAGAACAAUUAUUAUUGAAGGAAGGAAGGAUGUUGAGGCAUUUGUAGAAAAUAUAACCAGGCUGAAGACCUGGUACAGCCUAAUGGUGCUGAGUGUUCUCUGAACUGUACUGGUCCAAUAACAACUUUUGGAACGUAAACCUAAAUUGUUCAAAGCUAUUUCCAAUGGUGUACCCAAAUGAACACUCCUCAGAAGUGUAAGCUAAGAAGCUCACAAAUUAGUUUUUCCUAGGAGAUUUUGGGGCGUGAUACUAGUUAUCCCAGCCAUAGGGUCGUUACCCCUGUCCAUUUCUUCAAUUCCUCUUCUUAAAAUGUUAUUUUAAACCUUCACCACACUGCUAACCUUAUGCCUAACCGUAACCACACUGCUAACCUUAUGCCUAACCGUAACCACACUGCUAACCUUAUGCCUAACCUUAACCACACUGCUAACCUUACGCCUAACCUUAACCACACUGCUAACCUUAUGCCUAACCGUAACCACACUGCUAACCUUAUGCCUAACCUUAACCACACUGCUAACCUUAUGCCUAACCUUAACCACACUGCUAACCUUAUGCCUAACCUUAACCACACCUAACCUUAUGCCUAACCUUAACCACACUGCUAACCUUAUGCCUAACCUUAACCACACUGCUAACCUUAUGCCUAACCUUAACCACACUGCUAACCUUACGCCUAACCUUAACCACACUGCUAACCUUAUGCCUAACCGUAACCACACUGCUAACCUUACGCCUAACCUUAACCACACUGCUAACCUUAUGCCUAACCUUAACCACACUGCUAACCUUAUGCCUAACCUUAACCACACUGCUAACCUUAUGCCUAACCUUAACCACACUGCUAACCUUAUGCCUAACCUUAACCACACUGCUAACCUUACGCCUAAACCUUAUGCCUAACCUUAACCACACUGCUAACCUUACGCCUAACCUUAACCACACUGCUAACCUUACGCCUAACCGUAACCACACUGCUAACCUUACGCCUAACCGUAACCACACUGCUAACCUUACGCCUAACCGUAAC